GUUGCUUUGGUCAAGUGGUUAAGGCGUGUGCCUGUUAAGUACAUGGGGUUUCCCCGCGAGAGUUUGAAUCUCUCAAGCAACG
rfam:Ipomoea nil DNA, scaffold: scaffold1525, cultivar: Tokyo-kokei standard.